GUGGCUAUAGCUCAGUUGGUAGAGCCCUGGAUUGUGAUUCCAGUUGUCGUGGGUUCGAACCCCAUUAGCCACCCCA
rnacentral:tRNA from 4 species